UUAUAAUAUGUAGCGCUGCCAACGCUGCUGCUACUCAUGAGGCUGAGGCUAAUUAGGCGUGCUGAAACGCGACUUCGGCGCAAAGGGUUUAUCAAAAGAUUUUCUAUCCUUUGGACAUGGCUAUUCUUAACUUCGUUGAUUACGAACUGAUUGAAAAGAAGAAAUCUCGACACAUUUACUAAGCUGGAUUAAUCGCCAUACCUAUCUUCAAAACACUUAAAGCUGCAUUUACUUUCCUCAUCUUCAACGGAUUACUCAACGGGAAGGAUGUCAUAUUUCAAGGAUAGAAAUAUCUUAACCAACAACGGGUUUUCGCCUAUAGCUGAUUUAUAUUCUUUCAAGACUGGAUCUUUACAAAGCGAAGAAGAAAAAGGACGUUUAACUGAAAGUCGGUUAAUUUGCAAGGUUUCUGCAGCACUGAACGGAAAUUCAGAUGAUCGCCAUAUCACUCACACCACAAGCUGCAUCUCGAAAAAUAACAAUGGCAGUUUAUCGCCUCCCUCAGAUUUUUGUUACAGACAUUUGAACCCACUAUCUCUCGCCAAUCGCUGCGAUAGCAAAAAUCUUGGCUUAAACGUGAUCGACAGACAAAGCAGUAACAGUCGUAGCAGUCAUUUACCGGUUAUGCGAGAACCGGCCUCUCCCACUACCUCAAACGGUGGAUCUGAACAAAAACAAGCCAAUAUUCCAUCUCCUCUUCCGCUUCGUUAUCAUAGUUUAUCCAAUCCAGGAUCUGGAAGAGGUACAGCUCAAACUUUGCCAUUGGAGGGAGAAGAAAAAAAGAGAGAAGAGAGAGAAAGACACAAUUAUCUGGUUUCAAUGGAAAGGGGAGAGCAUUCUAGCGAUUUUGAAGAGGCUGCGGAGUGUAAGGUGGAAGAAGAGGAAGAGGAAGACGAGGAGGAAGCUUGGAGAAGGAUGAUGAUGUUGUACGCCGGAAGUUCUUCUAGUGCCGCUUUUGCCUCUCAUCAUCAUCAAAUGCCCACUGAUAGGGGUGAAAUUGAAAAGGAAACUGUCAAGGAUAUUUCUAAAUGUUGUGACCAGCCAUCCGUUUCUAUGGUAUUGACUUGUAUGCCAUGUGAUCGUCUUGUGCAACAUUAUUCUGAGGAUACGUUUGAAACAACUUUAUCUUCUGGAAUUUGCUCAAAAACAAUUAAAACUGCUCAAAUUUAUGAUACCCAAUUUUUACAAUCCUCCCCUCAACAAUUAAUUACGCCAUCUACUUCUUUUACUUCUACAAUUAUAACAUCAACAAUUACUUCCUCUAUAUUCACAAAAUCUCAUUAUUUCGAAUCCCCAACUUUUACUAGUGCAAUGUCAUCGACCUCCGAAAUUUUUUUACGGUUUUCGAGUUCAUUUCAAACCUCACCGACGUUUCAACAAUUAUUACUAAAUCAAAUUAGUCAGCUACCAAAUGUAUUGUCCUCUUUGUCACCUCAAGAUUUAGAUCAAAUGCAUCAUUUUCAACAACAACAAUUGCAACAGUUUUUAAUGCUUAACAGCGGACAACUCCCCGCAAACCUUCAACAGCAAUUACUUUUACAAAAUCAGACAUUUAUCCAACAACAUAUGGAUCAACUCCAAUCCCGCAUAUAUCAACCUUACCAACCCCAGACACUACCAUCAUCAUCGACACUCAAUACCUCAACCUCUCAAUUAAACCUUUCUUUUAUUAAUACCGUGGCUCCUAUUCCUCUUCCUGUCUCAUCGUUACUAUCUACCUUGUCCGUUCGACCCAUUAAAUCCGAACCCAUAGUACAAGAAUUAGCAUCAUCACAGCCUGUGAAAUCAAUGGUACUUACUCCUCUAUCAAUGACAAAAAGACGUAUCAAGCAAGAUUCUUCGAUUCCUGGGUCAACAACAACUAUUACCUCGAUGUCCAAGAAGAAAGUAAAAGUGCCCCAAUCGACAUCUGCACCCUGUUCAGUGUUUAGGUCUUCUAUUCCACCAGCCUCGCUCUCAACCGCUGGUUUAAUCACGCCCGCUGCUGCCGCGGCAGCCGCCGCCGCUGCCGCUGCUGCUUUUUAUUAUCAUCAUCAACAACAGCAGCAAGCUCACCAAUUUCAUCAACAGCCGAGACAACAUCAACAACUUCAACAAUCUAUUGUUAGACCCUUGUCUCCACCUCCAGCCGCUUCCCUUCCUUUUCCUUCUAUCUUCAAAUCUCCAUCGUCAUGUCACUCUUUUACUACCACAACUUGUGUAUUAUCGACGGCUCCAUUAAUAUGUUCCAUAAACAGAGAAGUUUCCCAGCCUACCUCAUUUUACUACCCUGCCCCACCUAGCAAUAGUAAAAGAGGUAAUGUUGGAAGUGGACUUCAAUUAAGUUCUACCCAAGAACCCUCGAUCAUCACAACCUCGCCUUUUCGACACACUCAAAAAUAUACUCAUCCCCUUAUGGAAGCGAAGGAAUUAAACGAAGAUACAAUGGAUUUGGAAGAGUUAGAGCGUUUUGCAAAAAUGUUUAAACAACGACGAAUUAAAUUGGGUUAUACCCAAGGCGAUGUUGGACUCGCUAUGGGAAAGUUAUACGGUAAUGAUUUUAGUCAAACCACGAUAUCCCGGUUCGAAGCUUUAAAUUUGAGCUUUAAAAAUAUGUGCAAACUUAAACCGCUUCUGGCCAAAUGGCUAGAAGAUGCCGACUCUAUUUCUGCAUCUUCCUCUUUCCUCCCCGCUGCUAUGCAACAAGCCCAACAACAACUAUAUACCCACCCAGCUCAACCGAGUAACAUAAGUCAGCAGAGCCCGCAUUCUUCCUCUUCUCAAAUACAACAGCAACAUUAUCAAGAUCCGCAAGCUUCUUUUCAUCAUCUUACCUCAUUAUCGUCUCCCACUGAUAUGUCACCAACCUCCGCUUAUCAAACUGGUCCAUCCACAUCUUUUACUUCAGGGAGCUCUUUGUUGGGGGCCGCCGGAAAGAGACGCAAAAAACGAACGAGCAUAGACACAUCUAUACGCGUGUCCCUUGAGAAAGCAUUUCUGCUGAAUCCCAAACCCGCCUCUGAGGAUAUAACUGCCAUCGCCGAUGAUCUAUGUAUGGAGAAGGAAGUAGUUAGAGUGUGGUUCUGCAACCGCAGGCAAAAGGAAAAGCGCAUAAACCCCCCUCCCGGAGCUGCUAUGGCCGCAGCAGCGGCAGCCGCUGCCUAUGCCUUCGGAGCCGUGCAACAUUUCCCCCCUCCUCCUAAUUCCUGUAAACACCAACAAGCUCAAGGUCAACCGUAUGCUUCUAGCACAAAUCUUUCAAAUACCAACACAAUAGGAUUAAAUAGUUCUUCGACAACAGGCUCUCAUAUGCAACAAUCGCCAUACCCGUUCCUACAAUUUAUGAACCCUUUUCUAGUAGCCAGUCACCACAUGUUUAGGGCACCUGUGCCUCCGGCCUCGUUGCAGCAGCAAGUCCAAUCGCAACAACCUCCUACAUAUGUUUCAACUCUUCCGUCGGCAUGUAUUGGUCAAUGUGAAAGAGAAAAGAGGGAACGAGGCGAAGGAAGUAUAGAUAAAGAAGGGCAACGAGUGGAUAAUUCUGGUGAUAGAAGAGAUGAUAAUCAGGACCAGGGUGAAGACGAGGACAAUAAAGAGGUUCUCGCCGUAGCAUCUUUCCUCUCGCCUUCCUCCUCUCACGAGGAAAGCCACGAUCCCGAUUUUUUAACUACCCCUUGACACUUGAUGAUUUGACGGUGAAUGUUAGAAGUUUGCUAGAUUAAUGUAUUACAUAAAUCGAUAACAAUGAUUGGAAAGGAAAUGGGCUAUUAAGAUUAUUGCGUUUGUUCGAUGUAAUAUCCAAUUAAAUAAGAGUAAACUUAUCGAAUUUUCUACAUAUUAGCUACAACAGAAAUCUCGAAAUCAAUAGCUAACAAUUAAAUAUAUGCAAUAUUACCUCCUCCCAAGUUUGACAUAUUCGUUGUAAAUUA